GACGAACGCUGGCGGCGUGCUUAACACAUGCAAGUCGAACGGAAAGGCCUCUUUCGGGGGGUACUCGAGUGGCGAACGGGUGAGUAACACGUGAGUAACCUGCCCUUGACUUUGGGAUAACUUCAGGAAACUGGGGCUAAUACCGGAUAGGAGCUCCUGCUGCAUGGUGGGGGUUGGAAAGUUUCGGCGGUUGGGGAUGGACUCGAGGCUGAUCAGCUUGUUGGUGGGGUAGUGGCUUACCAAGGCAUUGACGGGUAGCCGGCCUGAGAGGGUGACCGGCGACACUGGGAGUGAGACACGCCCAAUAGGCCUACGGGAGGCACCAGUGCGCAAUGGGGGACAACGGGGGGAAGUAUGACCCAGUGGUGCGGCGCGCAGGAAGAAGGCCCCCUGGUGGGAAAGUGCUCUUGUGGGGUAAAAACCGGUUCUGGUUAAGACCAGGGUUUAAUGACGGUAAGGGGAGAAAAAGCACCGGCUAACUACGUG
rnacentral:rRNA from 1 species